CAGUAGCCGCGGUAAUACGAAGGGUGCAAGCGUUAAUCGGAAUUACUGGGCGUAAAGCGUGCGUAGGCGGUGAGUUAAGUCUGCUGUGAAAUCCCCGGGCUCAACCUGGGAAUGGCAGUGGAUACUGGCUCGCUAGAGUGUGUCAGAGGAUGGUGGAAUUCCCGGUGUAGCGGUGAAAUGCGUAGAGAUCGGGAGGAACAUCAGUGGCGAAGGCGGCCAUCUGGGACAACACUGACGCUGAGGCACGAAGGCGUGGGGAGCAAACAGGAUUAGAUACCCGCGUAGUCCCUGUCUCUUAUAC
rnacentral:rRNA from 1 species